rnacentral:misc_RNA from 1 species
AUUUAGAUCACUUAAAAUAGUAGAUAAUAAACUAAGAAGAUUCCAUUAUGUAUAUGGAAAAUUCCAAAUAACAUUAUUUAACUAUCCCCUUCAUCUCCAAAGGCUCCACAGUCAAGGAUUGCAUUAUAGCUGUAAACGGGCUAGUGAUCUAUCACAACAACAAGUUGAAGACACUACUGGCCACGCUCAACAAAGAGACCAAGGAUUCGACUUUCAUGUUCAUUGAUUACUACAACGCCUUCUUGACCGUUUUCAAGAACAAUGGAGAGACUCCAGUUAAGAAAAAGUAAAACACAACAUUCUUGAAAUCCAUAUUUUCAAGGCUUUUAUAUAUUGUGUGAUUGGUUAUGGAAAUGUAGGGAGUACGCGGUUUAAAACUCCGUUGAAAGAAUGUUGAGGAGGUGUUUGUGGGGUUGUGGACGAGAAAGGUCAGAAGAACUAUACCUUAUGCGAUGAUCCUAAGUCUACUUUCUUCUGGGAUGUACUUCACCCUACUCAGGCAGGAUGGAGCUCGGUUUACGCGGUUUUAGGCAAAAAUCUAACUGCAUCUUUGAUGAAAGCGUAAAUCCACUUAUCGUGAUCAAAGAACCGAAAUGGGUUCGAGAUUAACAAAAUUCUUCUUCUGUAGUUCGGUGUGUUUUUCUUCUCUUAUAUCUUUGUUAUCUCUCCCUCUUCUUUCGUUUGUGCUUGCAAGUCUUUGUGCCUCUAUCUAUGUAUUGUGUGUUAUAGAAUAAAAAUGUGAACUUUAAGAAAA